UUCCUACGGGGGGCAGCAGUGGGGAAUAUUGGGCAAUGGGCGCAAGCCUGACCCAGCAAUGCCGCGUGAAGGAAGAAGGCCCUCGGGUUGUAAACUUCUUUUAUCAGGGACGAAGGAUGUGACGGUACCUGAUGAAUAAGCUCCGGCUAACUACGUGCCAGCAGCCGCGGUAAUACGUAGGGAGCAAGCGUUAUCCGGAUUUACUGGGUGUAAAGGGCGCGUAGGCGGGAUGGCAAGUCAGAUGUGAAAUCCAGGGGCUCAACCUGAGUAGUGCAUUGGAAACUGGGAGACUUGAGUGCAGAAGA
rnacentral:rRNA from 1 species